rnacentral:rRNA from 1 species
UACGGAGGGUGCAAGCGUUAUCCGGAAUUAUUGGGCGUAAAGCGCACGUAGGCGGAUUGUUAAGUCAGGGGUGAAAUCCUGGAGCUCAACUCCAGAACUGCCUUUGAUACUGGCGAUCUCGAGUCCGGGAGAGGUGAGUGGAACUCCGAGUGUAGAGGUGAAAUUCGUAGAUAUUCGGAAGAACACCAGUGGCGAAGGCGGCUCACUGGCCCGGUACUGACGCUGAUGUGCGAAGGCGUGGGGGAGCAAACAGG